UUAACUCAAAUUUGUAGAGUUGGAAGGUUUGCCGCUAGGGGCGCUGUUCCAACUGCAUACUAAUUUGAGUUA
rnacentral:pre_miRNA from 1 species